UAAUCUAAAUGAAAUAGGAGAUAAAAAAGGAAAUUUGAAAGCAACCCAACAGCAAUUAGAGAUAACAAGGAAUGUUAAAUGCAAUCAAUUUCCUUAAAUUCCUCCAAUGCAAUCAAUUUCCUUAAAUUCCUCUAACUUGUCCACAAAUUUUUCCUUCAUAACUAAACAUUAAAUCUUAUUUUUAUAGCUCUGUCAAAAAUGGAGAAAAAAUAUUUUUUUAAGAUUUGAAAUAAGCAGUAGAAGAUCUCAAGUCAUACAAUUGAUAACAGGUCCUAUUGAACAGAUUGAAGUAAUUGCUAUAAAUGAGUACUUUUGAAGCAAAUUUUUCAGGACCAAAUCAUAAUAAAGUUUUGAUUGGUCAGGUGUAUACGAAGAAAGCUAUUUUGAAGUCAGUAAUGACGUAGUACUCAAUCAGACACAAAUUCCAAUUCAAUACGAUAAAGUCAAAUGUAAACGGAUAAGUAAAAUUUAUUUAAAAUCGUGUAGGUCAGCGUAUUUACAUAAGUAUGUAAUUUUCUACAUGUUUGUCUACUUGUACAAGUAUAUGUAUGUUUGUAUAUUUGUAUAAGUUUUCUUAAUGUUUGGAUAUUUGUAUAUGUGAUUGUAUUUGUAUUUGUAUAAUUAUAUGAUUUGAAAGUAUUAAAUGCAUACGUUUUUGUGUA